GUCUCAGUUCGGAUUGGAGUCUGNAACCCGACUCCAUGAAGCUGGAUUCGCUAGUAAUCGCGCAUCAGCCACGGCGCGGUGAAUACGUUCCCGGGCCUUGUACACACCGCCCGUCAAGCCAUGGAAGCCGGGGGUGCCUGAAGUGCGCUGCCGCAAGGAGCGCCCUAGGGUAAAACCGGUGACUGGGGCUAAGUCGUAACAAGGUACC
rnacentral:rRNA from 1 species